UUUCCCGUCUUGGAACACGGACCAAGGAGUCUAACAUCUAUGCGAGUGUUCGGGUGUCAAACCCCUACGCGUAAUGAAAGUGAACGGAGGUGGGAACCCGCAAGGGUGCACCAUCGACCGAUCCUGAUGUCUUCGGAUGGAUUUGAGUAAGAGCAUAGCUGUUGGGACCCGAAAGAUGGUGAACUAUGCCUGAAUAGGGAGAAGCCAGGGGAAACUCUGGUGGAGGCUCGUAGCGGUUGUGACGUGCAAAUCCAUCGUAAAAUUUGGGCAUAGGGGCGAAAGACUAAUCGAACCAUACUAGUAGCUGGUUCCCUCCGAAAUUUCCCUCAGGAUAGCUGCGAUCGAAUGCCACUUUUAUCAGGUAAAGCGAAUGAUUAGAGGUCUUGGGGCUGAAACAGCCUUAACCUAUUCUCAAACUUUAAAUGGGCAAGGUGGUGGGUGCUUAAUUGACCCGCCGCGUUGAAUGUGAGCUCCAAGUGGGCCAUUUUUGGUAAGCAGAACUGGCGAUGCGGGAUCAACCGAACGUCGAGAUAAGGUGCCCAAGUGUCCGCUCAUCAGACUCCCCAAAAGCUGUUGGUUCAUUUAGACAGCAGGACGGUGGCCAUGGAAGUCGGAAUCCGCUAAGGAGUGUGUAACAACUCCCCUGCCGAAUGAACUAGCCCGGAAAAUGGAUGGCGC
rnacentral:rRNA from 1 species